GAUCAAGGAAAGAGUUGAAGAAAAGGAAGGCAUCCCACCAGUGCAACAGAGGUAAGUGCAAAAGAAAGCAGCAUAUGGAUCCUUUGUCUUUUCAUGGUUUGUUUGCUUUUCUUCUUCCUUUUUUUCUUCUUUUUUUUUGUUGGUUUUUGAUGGUGGUGGUGGUGGUGGGAGGAAGUUUCUGCUGCUGUGGCUAACAAAAGGUUUGGCGUCGUCCUUUCCUUUCCUU
rnacentral:ribozyme from 1 species